CAGCUGUGUGUGCUGGGCCCACUGAUCAGGGUGCUCAGGACCAGGAGCCCUCUGAGGAUGUGCAGAGGGGACUCUGGGGAGAGGAACAUGGUGGCCACAGCUGGAGUGACCGCAGUGUACAGAGAUGGGAUGGGAGUAGGAAACCCAAAAGAGCCGGCCCUGGAACCAGGUGGAGGGGAGGCAGCCCGGCCAUGACCCAGAGCAGGACAUCUGCUCCACUUCACCUUUUGCCAUGAGUAAAAGCUCCCUGAGGCCUCCCAAGAAGUUGAUGCCCUGUGCUUCCUGUACAGCUGCGGAACCGGAUGGCUUUCCGUGGCUUUGCUACAGCCACUCCUGGAAAUGCUGCCUGACUGAAUCCUCAGGGCACCCCGGCAGGAUGGACGUGGUGUACCCCCUACUUUACAGAUGGGGAAACUGAGGCUUGAGAGCUAAAGCAGCCCACCCAGCUCCCAGAGAUGAGGAGGCCGACUCUGGCAGGAGUCACUGUCGGUGCAUGGGCAUUUCUUCCUGUUACAGCCUGCGGCCCCUUCCAGGCCAGGAGGCCUUCUGUGCAGGGCCACCCUCCCUGCAUGGCCCGAUGACCUGCGCUCCUGUUUCAUCUCCCCGUGUGGCACCUGGGGCAGCUUGGAGCCUACCAAGGUCUCAACAAGGAACCAGUAAAUACCAAAAAAAGGACAUCACGUCCCCUACAGCUAACUGCAAAUGGUGACCAUCCCAGCCCUUGUUUGAUAACACAAGCAAAGCAAUGGCUUCUUCAAGGACACCGAGAGGAACCUCAUCUCUUUCUAAAACCUCCAAUGCAGGGCCAGGCGCGGUGGCUCAUGCGUGUAAUCCCAGCACUUUGGGAGGCCGAGGCAGGUGGAUCACGAGGUCAGGAGAUCGAGACCAUCCUGGCUAACAUGGUGAAACCCCGUCCCUACUAAAAAUACAAAAAAUUAGCCGGGCGUGGUGGUGUGCGCCUGUAGUCCCAGCUACUCGGGGAGGCUGAGGUAGGAGAAUAGCGUGAACCCAGAAGGUGGAGGUAGCAGUGAGCCGAGAUCACGCCACUGCACUCCAGCCUGGGGGACAGAGCAAGACUCCAUCUCAAAAAACAAACAAACAAACCUCCAACACCACCCGGAAGGGCCUGGAGGCACUCACUGAUGAGCCUGGAAUUUCUCACAGGGGACAGAGAGGUGACCAAGGCUCCUGCACAUUUCCCCAUCUGUCUGACACCCCUUUCCAGAACCAGAAAGCAUGCUGAGCUCGGCCUCUGUCACGCAGGGUUCCAGGUAUUUCUGGGGCUCAGCAGGGAGAAGGCCAGGACGUGCUCCCUGACUCUCGGCAGGGCGGGAGAAGAAUGAAUCCUCUGAGGUCCCCAGCUUGGGGAAAAGGGGGCGGGAGAGUGGCGGGCAGAGACCUCCGUAUCCCCCUCUCCUGAAGCCCUGCCACUGUGGCAGCCCUACAGGGACUACAGGGCUCCAGCCCUACAGGGACUCUGCAGUGGGGCGGGUGUGCAGGCUCACAGGCUCUGGAAAUGCCCCAGGAUGCCUUGGCAGUGUCUCCCACAGACCCAAGAGUGCCACUAGAAACAGGACCCCUCCUCAGUCAUCCUGCAUGGGGGCUCCUGUUGCUUUGGGGGCUGCUUUCCAGCAGCUGCGUCAGACAACGACCCACCUCAUCCCCCCAGCCAGGACCUGAACAGGCACUGACGUCAGAUACAUAGACCUUGUUGCUGAACUUGUCAAAAACUUCAAUGGUGAUUUCAUACAGGCGGCCGGUCUCCAGCACCCACCUAUCACCAGGGUGAAUGGUGAACCCUAAAACAGGCAGGGGGAGCCUGAGCACUCAGGCCUCAGGGGCAGCAGGGUGGAGGAGGAUGGGACCACCACCCUCAGCACAGGGGCCCUCAGCAUCCACAUGGGAAGCCCCACUCCACCCACCUGCAGGCCCCACACCACCCACCUAGGGGCCCCACAAUUAUGGCGCUGGCCUCCUCCACAGAGAGGGACCUGUUGCUGAGGAACAGAUGCCUGAUGCCGCCUUCAGCCCUGAGUCCUGAGCUGACCUCCCGAGGACCAAACCUGGACUCAUCCCAUUCUAUCUGAACAAGGCUCCUUCAAACUUGUUCCUGUCCUCAGUGGGUCUACACUCAGAAUCCUAGCAGCUCUGUCCUUAACACACAGCAGGUCUAUGCUCUGAAGUGAUAAUAGGUCUAUAGUGUUCACAGUAGAACUAGUCUGAACCUUCAGGGGGUCUGUGCUCUGAGGAGGGAUGGACAUAGACUCCAAGAAAGUGAUGAUUCUGGAAAAGGAACGCGUUGUUAAAGUUUGUUGAUCAAACCCAGACACAAGGUCUGUCAGAAUCUACCACAGCAUUCCCUAUCAGCACCUCCCACUGGGGCCAAUGCUGAAGAAAUAAGGGGUGUCCCGUUAGUCAGGGCUGGGGCUACCUAGAGACAUGUCCCUGCAGCUUCCUACAUCAGAUCUGCCCAUGUCCUUGUGAAAAAUGCAGAUGCUUGGCCCCUGGCCCAGGCUGUGUCUGCAAGAAGCCUGGGAAACUCCAUUUUAUCCACCU
rnacentral:antisense_RNA from 1 species